GAUGAAGAACGUAGCGAAAUGCGAUAAGUAGUGUGAAUUGCAGAAUUCAGUGAAUCAUCGAAUCUUUGAACGCACAUUGCGCCCCUUGGUAUUCCAUGGGGCAUGCCUGUUCGAGCGUCAUUUGUACCCUCAAGCUAUGCUUGGUGUUGGGCUUCGUCCCCCCGUGGACGUGCCCGAAAGGCAGUGGCGGCGUCCCGAAUGGUGCCCGAGCGUAUGGGAACUCUCUUCCGCUCGAACCGGCCCAUUCGGCGCUGGUCGAACCCCAAUUUUUUUUUACCGGUUGACCUCGGAUCAGGUAGGGAUACCCGCUGAACUUAAGCAUAUCAAUAAGCGGAGGA
rnacentral:misc_RNA from 1 species